GGCACCUAUUUGGUCCAUACUCUCCAUCCUUUUUAAACCUCUUUUUUUAUCCGUUUUUGGUGGAGAUUUUACAUUUCUUUUAGCCUUUACUAAUACUUUCCCUACCUCUUCAUUAUCUUUAACAGGCGAACUUUUCAACAUACAAGACUUUUGAUAUUGUUCGUCAGGAUUAGACUCGUUCUUUGAUGAUUUUCUCCGUGGUCUGGACGGAAUAGGAGAAAUAAAUUUAUCUGCUGUUUUUAAUGACACGCGAGCUAUAUUUUCUAAUUUUUCUUCAUCAGCACCAGGAAAAAUAAUUUUAGCCGGUCUCAAGCCUUCAGAUGUUUGAAGAUAGAUCUUUCCAUUCAGAAACUGUGGGAAAAAUUUGAUUUUGUCUUAUCCGAAUUAUUGCAAUGUAAUAAAGAAAAUGCUAGAAAAUAAUACAAAUUAUUUACUCUCGUUCCACAAGACACACAAUGUUCAGAAAUACUUUUACAAAUGGAAUCAUCUCCAUUAUGACAAUUGCACUUGCAAUUUUCUCCGCCAUAAGGAUCUUCUUGAGAACCUGAUAGUGGCAGUUCAAUAUUUUCGUAUAAUUCUGAUGCAUCUUCAGUAUACACUUUAUUUUUAUCAUGUGGACCCACGGGACAUGUUAAAUUUUCAAACAUAUGCGAUGCAAAUAAACUGUAGAAUAUAACAAUAUAUUAGGAAAAUAUCUUAUAUUAAAUAUUGAUUUUUGUAUUAUUCGUUCUAUUGUAAAUAUUACCUUUCAGGUGGUUUAGCGGUAGGUAAUAUUUGCAAAAAUAAAUCCAUGACCAAUGGGUGUCCCUUAAGUAUAGGACCCAUAAUUGAAUGAACAUGCUCUAAUGUUGUCUGUGGUUCGGACGAAAGUUGAGUGAUAGCUUGCAUCAUUUUUGCUAUUCGAGAAGGUUGCUUAGCAAAAUAUAUUUGAGCCACGUUAAUAAAUUCGCUCAUUUUUUGAAGCAUUAUAUAUUCAACUGAUUUAUCUAUUAUCGCAGCUUGAUGGGGCUUUAAAAAUAAUAAAAAGUCUGUACAAAGUUCAGGAUAUUCGUGUAGCUUCUCACACACAUCCUCGUAUAAAUUAAUAGCUAUAGCAUCUUUAUCUCUUGCUGUUUGCUCCAUAAGUUUUUCAUUGUGCAGAGCUCCAGGCUCAUUAGAAAAAGACAAUUCGCUCUCCAUUUGAUUAAUACUAUCCAAUUUCUCAUAAUAAUCUAAGUAUAAUUUUACAACAGAUCGAAAUAUGUCAGGACUAUUAGACUCCAAUAUUAAAUGUAAUUUUUGAAGAUAUGAUGCUGCAAAUUCUGUAUAAUAAAAAAUAAAAAUGUUUCGUUAUCUUACAUUUUGUACAUCUAACUAAGAAUCUUGUAAGAUUAUUAAGCGAAACCUACUUGAUCCUCUUUCUUCUUCAUUCAACGGAUUUUCAGAUUCUAAAAGCCUCUUAAUAUUUUCUAUCUCUCUAGCUUCUUUAGCUUUUUUUCUACUAAGUGAGUCUUUUUUAAUAGUUGUACUUGCUAACAUUAGUUCUGCUAUUUCAUCUUCAUUAUCCUGGAAUAAAAAGCGAAUUAAAAAAUACAAUGAUAAAAGCUAGACUAUUCCCAUUGUAAUAGACAUUUGAUAGAGAAACAAAAUACGAUGUUGUUUGUAUUUCCACUUUUACUUACAAGUUUUGGUAAUGAUUGUGUCUUCUCAAAAUUUUUAUACAUGUCAUUCUUUUCUCUAGAUUUUAAAGUAUUGCAACUGGAAGAUAAUCCUUUCGGUCCUAGAACUUGAGCCAUUAACUUCAUAUUUUGAGCACUUCUUGUCUUUGCUAAUCUAGGCGUAGUUCUUCGCAAUUGUGGCAACUCUUGUAUUACAUCUGAAGACUUUUUAGAAAACUUGGAAUGCUUUGAUGUAGCCGAAAUUGCAAAGGUAAUAUCUUUGGGAACAUAUUUACAACAGGAUUUCGUAACGGAUGAAUGCUGGGAACAGUUGUAUAAACUUUAGCAAUUCCAUUUACACAGUCAUCCUUCUUCAUGAGAUCAUUAUAGGAGUUUAAUAUAUGUUUUCUCUUUAACGCAUCAAUUUUCUGUUCUGUCUGUGAACAAAUUCAACCAAUUUAUUAACACCAUCUCAUUUCAAUGAUAUAAAAAUUAUUCUCUAUAAUUUGUUAAAUGUUAAUGGAGAUUAAAAUAUCGAAAAUAUUUUAGAUUAGAUAAACGUACAUUGUUAAGAUAAUUUUGCCACUCUUUAGGCAAACACUCUAUUGAUUGAUCCUUUGGUGCUUUAGGAUCACAUUCUCGUGUUAUAUAAUGUAUCGUUUUAGGAGCGCAACCCUUUUCAAAAUAAUGCUGAAAGAAUAAUUACUUCGUUGUAAUUCUUUUAUUUAAGUAAUAUGUGCAAAUACAUACCCUUAUGGGAUUGCCAUCA